rnacentral:rRNA from 1 species
CCUACGGGCGGCAGCAGUGGGGAAUAUUGGACAAUGGGGGCAACCCUGAUCCAGCCAUGCCGCGUGUGUGAAGAAGGCCCUCGGGUUGUAAAGCACUUUCAGUGAGGAAGAACGCCUGGUGGUUAAUACCCAUCAGGAAAGACAUCACUCACAGAAGAAGCACCGGCUAACUCCGUGCCAGCAGCCGCGGUAAUACGGAGGGUGCGAGCGUUAAUCGGAAUUACUGGGCGUAAAGCGCGCGUAGGUGGCUUGAUAAGCCGGUUGUGAAAGCCCCGGGCUCAACCUGGGAACGGCAUCCGGAACUGUCAAGCUAGAGUGCAGGAGAGGAAGGUAGAAUUCCCGGUGUAGCGGUGAAAUGCGUAGAGAUCGGGAGGAAUACCAGUGGCGAAGGCGGCCUUCUGGACUGACACUGACACUGAGGUGCGAAAGCGUGGGUAGCAAACAGGAUUAGAUACCCGGGUAGUC